rnacentral:rRNA from 1 species
GAUGAACGCUGGCGGCAUGCCUAAUACAUGCAAGUCGAGCGAACAGACGAGGAGCUUGCUCCUCUGACGUUAGCGGCGGACGGGUGAGUAACACGUGGAUAACCUACCUAUAAGACUGGGAUAACUUCGGGAAACCGGAGCUAAUACCGGAUAAUAUAUUGAACCGCAUGGUUCAAUAGUGAAAGACGGUUUUGCUGUCACUUAUAGAUGGAUCCGCGCCGCAUUAGCUAGUUGGUAAGGUAACGGCUUACCAAGGCAACGAUGCGUAGCCGACCUGAGAGGGUGAUCGGCCACACUGGAACUGAGACACGGUCCAGACUCCUACGGGAGGCAGCAGUAGGGAAUCUUGCGCAAUGGGCGAAAGCUUGACGGAGCAACGCCGCGUGAGUGAUGAAGGUCUUCGGAUCGUAAAACUCUGUUAUUAGGGAAGAACAAAUGUGUAAGUAACUAUGCACGUCUUGACGGUACCUAAUCAGAAAGCCACGGCUAACUACGUG